CGGUUUACCACCGGGAUGUUCAUAACCCUUUGUUGUCCGACUCUGUUGCCUCCGGGGCGACCCUGCCUUCGGGCGGGGGCUCCGGGUGGACACUUCAAACUCUUGCGUAACUUUGCAGUCUGAGUAAACUUAAUUAAUAAAUUAAAACUUUUAACAACGGAUCUCUUGGUUCUGGCAUCGAUGAAGAACGCAGCGAAAUGCGAUAAGUAAUGUGAAUUGCAGAAUUCAGUGAAUCAUCGAAUCUUUGAACGCACAUUGCGCCCCCUGGUAUUCCGGGGGGCAUGCCUGUUCGAGCGUCAUUUCACCACUCAAGCCUCGCUUGGUAUUGGGCAACGCGGUCCGCCGCGUGCCUCAAAUCGACCGGCUGGGUCUUCUGUCCCCUAAGCGUUGUGGAAACUAUUCGCUAAAGGGUGUUCGGGAGGCUACGCCGUAAAACAACCCCAUUUCUAAGGUUGACCUCGGAUCAGGUAGGGAUACCCGCUGAACUUAAGCAUAUCAAUAAGCCGGAGGAA
rnacentral:rRNA from 1 species